rnacentral:rRNA from 1 species
GUGGGGAAUAUUGGACAAUGGGCGAAAGCCUGAUCCAGCCAUGCCGCGUGUGUGAAGAAGGUCUUCGGAUUGUAAAGCACUUUAAGUUGGGAGGAAGGGCAGUAAGUUAAUAUCUUGCUGUUUUGACGUUACCGACAGAAUAAGCACCGGCUAACUUCGUGCCAGCAGCCGCGGUAAUACGAAGGGUGCAAGCGUUAAUCGGAAUUACUGGGCGUAAAGCGCGCGUAGGUGGUUUUGUAAGUUGGAGGUGAAAUCCCCGGGCUCAACCUGGGAACUGCCUCCAAAACUGCAUGACUAGAGUACGGUAGAGGGUAGUGGAAUUUCCUGUGUAGCGGUGAAAUGCGUAGAUAUAGGAAGGAACACCAGUGGCGAAGGCGACUACCUGGACUGAUACUGACACUGAGGUGCGAAAGCGUGGGGAGCAAACAGGAUUAGAAACCCCAGUAGUCC